UGAGCGGGAGGCGACCAGCGCACAGUGGACCGGGCGCCUCCCGCGCUUCGGGGGAUCGCGGACGACCGGCGCGGGACGGCCACCUGGAGCGCAGCGGCCAGGUCUGAACAGUGAUGGCACUUAUUUCUGUUACAAGUUUCUCAGUGGACUGUGGAUUGACUGAACCAUACCCAUUCCCAUCAUGAUGUAUACCACCAAGGCUCCUCACUAGUAAGUCAUUCUCUAUUCAGUAUCACUUGUGUGGUUAUAU
rnacentral:lncRNA from 1 species